rnacentral:misc_RNA from 1 species
UCCGAGUUGACCCCGGCAGUCUCCUAUGAGUCCCCACCAUUACGUGCUGGCACCAUAGAACGAGGGUUGCGCUCGUUGCGGGACUUAACCCAACAUCUCACGACACGAGCUGACGACAACCAUGCACCACCUGUGCACGAGCCCCGAAGGGCUGCCGGGUUUCCCCGACAUUCCCGUGCAUGUCAAGCCUUGGUAAGGUUCUUCGCGUUGCGUCGAAUUAAUCCACAUGCUCCGCCGCUUGUGCGGGCCCCCGUCAAUUCCUUUGAGUUUUAGCCUUGCGGCCGUACUCCCCAGGCGGGGUGCUUAAUGCGUUAGCUGCGGCACGGAUCGCGUCGAUAGCGACCCACACCUAGCACCCAUCGUUUACGGCGUGGACUAC